AUUAAAUUCAAUUAAAGAAGAAAAAUUAGAAACAAAUAGAAAGGGGCUUUUUCUUGGAUCUGAAUCUGCAUAGGAGGAGAAAAAUCGAAGGUGAUCGGCACCACGCUUGCAGGUAAGCCUAACCCGAUUUCCUCCUUCUUUCUUUUCUGUUUCCUUGAAUCUGGGGAAUCUUUUCCAGCCGUGGAAAUUGCUUGGGGACUUAUGGUUCUUCAUCCAAGUGAAAAGGUUUCGGUUUGAUCUGGACGAAGGUGUCCGAAUUUGUUAGAACACAUUUCGGCUCUGUUUUUAGCUGGCAUUUGAUCAGAAUUCUUUGAAAUCCUUGGUGAAUUUGUGUUGCAACCACUGCUGCGUCACAACCGUAAAUAUAAUUAUGCGAAAGAAGUUUUUUGUUUGUGCAAAUUCACCAAUUUUCUAGGUAUUGGUGAGAAUAAAAGAAGAAAUGGUGUUUGGUAGAAUUGCGGACGCUAUUUCCGCUGCAUCAAGCCGUUUGUCGGCCCCACAGUCUUCUUCUUCUUCUUCGUUGUCUUCCUUCUCUUCUACUGCUCCCUAUGCGUCGGUCGGAAUACCGCCUCAGGCGCCCUCUUCUAAUGUAUUUGGGUUCGGCAACAAUACUUACCACAAGAACAAUAUUAGAAUGUCUUCGUCUCUCCAGGAUUUCUCUGCUUAUAGUCCGCUUGAUCGUGAAGAAGUUAAUCUCGCCGCCCAUUUAAAGCAUCCGCAUCCUUUGCAGAGAGAUAAUGUCGGCUCUAGUUUCUCCAAAGAGAAGGGGUUGCCGGGAGGAACCCAGUCUAAGCGCAACAAGUGGUUGCGACUUCUCAUGCUUAUCCUCUGCCUCUUGUUGUUGGGUCUUCUAAUUUAUAUGAUUUGUGUGUAUGCUUAUUCUUACUGGUCUCAAGGAGCAUCCAAAUUCUACGUUGUGCUCGAUUGUGGAAGUACCGGAACUAGAGUUUAUGUUUAUCAAGCAACUGUUGUUCGCAACAAUGCCGGCACUCUUCCUUUUGUCUUGAGAUCAUUAAAUGAAGGUCUUCACAAGAAGCCUAGUUCGCAGAUCGGGCGUGCUUAUGAUCGAAUGGAGACCGAGCCUGGGUUUCAUAAGUUGGUGAACAAUCUAUCUGGCUUGAGAACUGCGAUUAGACCACUUGUUCGGUGGGCAGAGAAGCAAAUCCCCAAGCAUGCACAUAAGACCACCUCUCUCUUCGUUUAUGCUACGGCUGGGGUUCGCAGGCUGCCGGCAGCUGACUCAAAUUGGCUUUUAGAAAAUGUAUGGUCCAUACUCAAAACCUCAUCUUUUCUGUGCCAAAGAGACUGGGUUAAAAUUAUCAGUGGCCCAGAGGAAGCUUAUUAUGGAUGGAUAGCCCUUAACCAUCGCACAGGUAUGUUAGGGGCCCGACCAAGAGAGCGGACGUUUGGUGCUCUUGACUUGGGUGGCUCGUCCUUGCAGGUUACAUUUGAAAGCAAGGAAAACGUACAUAAUAAGACUAGCUUAAAACUUAGAAUAGGAGCUGUUAACCAUCAUCUCACCGCCUAUUCUCUCUCGGGCUAUGGUUUAAAUGAUGCCUUUGACAAGUCCGUGGUCCAACUUUUUAAGAGGGUUCCAGAAAUCACCAAGGGAGAUGCAAUCAAUGGAAAAAUAGAACUAAAGCAUCCUUGCUUGCAUUCUGGGUACAAGGAGCAAUAUAACUGUUCUCAAUGUGUUUUGGAUUACCAGGAAGGUCGGAGCCCCGUGAUUGUAGGAAAACAUUUGGGUAAAGGUCAAAAGUCGGGCAUUGCUGCACAGCUGGUUGGUGCUCCGAAUUGGGAGGAAUGCAGUGCGCUGGCAAAGGUUGCUGUUAAUUUGUCUGAAUGGUCAAAUAAAAACGUGGGACUUGACUGUGAUGUGCAGCCUUGUGCUCUUCCUGAUGGUUUUCCUCGCCCCAUUGGCCCGUUCUAUGGAAUGUCUGGAUUUUUUGUGGUGUAUCGGUUUUUUAAUUUGUCUUCAGAAGCCACAUUAGAUGAUGUAUUGGAAAAGGGUCGCCAAUUUUGUGAAAAAACUUGGGACGUUGCAAGAAAGAGCGUUGCACCUCAGCCCUUUAUUGAACAGUACUGCUUUAGGGCACCAUAUAUUGUGUCACUGUUGAGAGAGGGCUUGCAUAUCACAGAUAGCCAAAUCAUUAUUGGUUCUGGAAGUAUUACUUGGACUCUUGGAGUUGCCUUGUCAGAAGCUGGGAAAGUAUUUUCAUCUAGGAUGUGGCUUAACGGUUAUGAAAUACUCCAGAUGAAGAUAAACCCUACAGUCCUUAUUUCCAUUUUGUUUAUUUCUUUGGUUCUCCUAGUUUGUGCGUUAUCAUUUAUUGGCAAUGGUAUGCCAAGAUUUUUCCGGAGGUCAUAUCUCCCUCUUUUCAGGCAUAAUAGUGCACAGAACACAUCUGUUCUUAAUAUCCCAUCUCCUUUCAGAUUGCAGCGUUGGAGUCCUAUCAGUUCUGGGGAUGGAAGAGUGAAGAUGCCACUGAGUCCAACUGCCCAAGAAAGACCAUUUGGUUUUGGACAUGGCCUCAACAGCAGCAGCAGCAGCAGCAGCAUCCAGCUCAUGGAGUCUUCCUUAUACUCAUCGACUAGCAGUGUUUCACAUAGUUACUCCUCAAAUAGUUUGGGGCAGAUGCAAUUUGAUGGCAGUAGCAUGGCUCCCUUCUGGUCCCCCCACAGAGGCCAGAUGCGUCUUCAAAGUCGGAGAUCACAAUCACGAGAAGACCUUAAUUCUUCACUAGCUGAGGCGCACAUGGUGAAGGUCUAGGGCAUACUUUACCCUUAAUCUGGGAAAAAAUCUGUCAAUUGAGCUGUUUAUCAGAAAGUAAAAGUCAAAAUAAAGUCUCCGUUUUUCUAGUAAGUAAAAGUCAAAAUAAAAUCUCAAUGCUGGUGUCGGUAAAUGAUGACAUUUCUGCCUCCUCAGACAACUUAUUUAGUUUUGGGAGCCCUCUCAUAAAAUUUUAACUGCAGAAAUAAAAAGGAAACAAAUUAUUUAUUUAUUUUUAUUUUUUUAAUGACGGGGAACCACCCCACAGUAGAGCCCUUAGGACUCACCUAUGGAACCUAAAUCCCCGGGGAGACUAGCACAGCAAUCCACCGCCAGGCGCCAUGGGCUCCCACUUAAAGCACAUGUUUGAUCCUAGGGAGAAUCGAACCUGUGACAUGGGGCACUUGCACGCAAGUUCGCCCUUACCACUUGGGCUACUCACGGCAUGUAUCGGUUUUUGUCAAGGAUGAUUGUGGGGCUAAGGUUUGGAUGGGCUGGCCUGGCUACUGGUUCCAACUGAUUCUGCAGGGCAGUGAUUUUAUCACAUUUUAACAGGAUUCUUUCGCAAAUUACCCAGUCUAAACAAGCUUGCCUUGAGGUUCCAAUUAAGGUUUUAUCACCCUUCUUCAAUGGUUAUCUUAUCACUCCAUGGUCUGCCACUCCUAUCAGUCAAGAUCUGAAGCCUAUCCACAAUUUUCAAGCAUGAACUGUUCCUCAGGGCAAGCCAUUGACAACUAUUAGAGUAGACUAGAGUUAGCUGUUACUUAUUACUCCCUCCCUCCUUUGUUUAGCUUUUGUUAAGACGAAUUGAUUGAUUGAAGAGAUAAAUACUGGGAAGAGGAUAUACACAAAUCACCUUUUAUACAUGAAAUAUAUAUGUUCGUUCAUUCUCAUUA